rnacentral:rRNA from 1 species
GGUUAAGUUAUCAAGGGCGCACGGUGAAUGCCUUGGCACUAGGAGCCGAUGAAGGACGGGACGAACACCGAUAUGCUUCGGGGAGCUGUAAGCAAGCUUUGAUCCGGAGAUUUCCGAAUGGGGAAACCCCCUAUCCGUAAUGGGAUAGGAUCUUUACCUGAAUACAUAGGGUAUUGAAGGCAGACCCGGGGAACUGAAACAUCUAAGUACCCGGAGGAAGAGAAAGCAAAUGCGAUUCCCUGAGUAGCGGCGAGCGAAACGGGAACAGCCCAAACCAAGAGGCUUGCCUCUUGGGGUUGUAGGACACUCUGUACGGAGUUACAAAAGAACGAGGUAGAUGAAGAGGUCUGGAAAGGCCCGCCAUAGGAGGUAACAGCCCUGUAGUCAAAACUUCGUUCUCUCCUGAGUGGAUCCUGAGUACGGCGGAACACGUGAAAUUCCGUCGGAAUCCGGGAGGACCAUCUCCCAAGGCUAAAUACUCCCUAGUGACCGAUAGUGAACCAGUACCGUGAGGGAAAGGUGAAAAGCACCCCGGAAGGGGAGUGAAAGAGAUCCUGAAACCGUGUGCCUACAAGUAGUCAGAGCCCGUUAACGGGUGAUGGCGUGCCUUUUGUAGAAUGAACCGGCGAGUUACGAUCCCGUGCAAGGUUAAGUUUGAAAAGACGGAGCCGCAGCGAAAGCGAGUCUGAAUAGGGCGCAUGAGUACGUGGUCGUAGAC